rnacentral:rRNA from 1 species
GAUGAACGCUGGCGGCGUGCCUAAUACAUGCAAGUAGAACGCUGAAGGAGGAGCUUGCUCUUCUGGAUGAGUUGCGAACGGGUGAGUAACGCGUAGGUAACCUGCCUGGUAGCGGGGGAUAACUAUUGGAAACGAUAGCUAAUACCGCAUGACAACAGUUAUUGCAUGAUAACUGUUUAAAAGGGGCAACUGCUCCACUACCAGAUGGACCUGCGUUGUAUUAGCUAGUUGGUGAGGUAACGGCUCACCAAGGCGACGAUACAUAGCCGACCUGAGAGGGUGAUCGGCCACCCUGGGACUGAGACACGGCCCAGACUCCUACGGGAGGCAGCAGUAGGGAAUCUUCGGCAAUGGACGGAAGUCUGACCGAGCAACGCCGCGUGAGUGAAGAAGGGUUUCGGAUCGUAAAGCUCUGUUGUAAGAGAAGAACGAGUGUGAGAGUGGAAAGUUCACACUGUGACGGUAUCUUACCAGAAAGGGACGGCUAACUACGUG